UAGGGAAUCUUCGGCAACGGGGGCAACCCUGACCGAGCAACGCCGCGUGAGUGAAGAAGGUUUUCGGAUCGUAAAGCUCUGUUGUAAGUCAAGAACGGGUGUGAGAGUGGAAAGUUCACACUGUGACGGUAGCUUACCAGAAAGGGACGGCUAACUACGUGCCAGCAGCCGCGGUAAUACGUAGGUCCCGAGCGUUGUCCGGAUUUAUUGGGCGUAAAGCGAGCGCAGGCGGUUUGAUAAGUCUGAAGUUAAAGGCUGUGGCUCAACCAUAGUUCGCUUUGGAAACUGUCAAACUUGAGUGCAGAAGGGGAGAGUGGAAUUCCAUGUGUAGCGGUGAAAUGCGUAGAUAUAUGGAGGAACACCGGUGGCGAAAGCGGCUCUCUGGUCUGUAACUGACGCUGAGGCUCGAAAGCGUGGGGAGCGAACAGGAUUAGAUACCCUGGUAGUCCACGCCGUAAACGAUGAGUGCUAGGUGUUGGAUCCUUUCCGGGAUUCAGUGCCACAGCUAACGCAUUAAGCACUCCGCCUGGGGAGUACGACCGCAAGG
rnacentral:rRNA from 1 species